UGUAGUAAAGCAACAAGGGCUUUAUUACGAGCUUGGAGCGGGGACGUUGUUGCUUUACUACAGAGACCUUCGAGCGGGGACCUUGGAGCGGGAUGCCAGCUCCACUAGCCGUUGGGAGAUUCAUGCAAUAAUAUUACAGGAAGGAUUCAUACAUUUGAAGCCUCUAACUGGAGGAAAACGAAGGGGCGAAUAAAAUCAGGGAAGAGAGGGUAGAGGAUUUGCAUUUGUAUUGGAGUGUUGUGUCAGAGUCAAGGAUUUGCAUUGGAGUGUUGUGUCAUUGGGCAGAAGAAUUCAUACAAUAAUCUUACAGUGAGGAUUCAUACAAAGAGCUAAAAUUAGGGGCAAUUGGGAGAUUCAUACUGUAGUAAUCUAUAUGACCAUUGGGAGAUUCACAGAAUAAUCUAUACGGCCUCCAAAUGAAAGUAAAAGAAGGGCCGAUUAAAACCAGGGCAAGAGAGGGAACUGGCAGCGGGACUGGAAUCUGUGUUAAAUCUUGUUAUUGUAGUGUUGCAUCAUUCCAAAAUAUCUAUCAGAAGGUGCUUACAGCUGAUGGAUCACACCAUCAAAUGAUUUUUCUCUUUGAAAGAUUUAGACACUAAGCCCCAGCUUAAGAGCCAAAUAUACAAUAAACUUAUUCAUUCGUAAAGGCAUUGUUCGUAUAAAGGGCUUGAUAGUCAGCUGGUUGUGAUUAAUCAGGGAUCCAUCCUCUGUCAAUAGCUGUUAUAAUGGCUCAAAAUCAAAUCUUACUCCUGUACAUUACUCUGCAAUUUUUUAUCAAUUCUCUAUUAAAUGUCCUCCACGCCAAGGCUGUGUGCAGCAGCUCCUUUUGCUGUCUUCUUUCAUUCACUUUUCUUCAAGGCAGCCUCCUUCUGCUGAUUCAACCAGGUUAGUCUCUGCCCACUAUUGAUCAAAAAGAUGGAUAACAAUUAAUGAUUGUAAAGAGGAUGGGAGGCGAAUUCGACAUCUGAAAGGUUGGGACAAGUGAGAACCUGAACACAAAAAAUUCAUUGGAGGAUUUGUUGACGACAAUGAGAACUUGAACAUGAAAACUUCAAAGAAGGGAUCGACUUAUGAUGUUGUUUAAUAGUGGAGUGGAAGUGCAAAAUAUGUAACAUUCAAUUUAAAUUGAUUAUUUUUAUUUAUUGUAAACAUUCCUCAACACUUAUAAUUAAUAAAGAUAUACCAUUUUUUUUGA